AAUUAGUUAUACGACUGACGGAAAAGUGGAGUUUACCACGUGAAGUAUAAUGAUUAUUAUAAGCCGACCGUCUGGGCAUGAGCC
rnacentral:ncRNA from 2 species